GAGUUUGAUCAUGGCUCAGAGUGAACGCUGGCGGCAGGCCUAACACAUGCAAGUCGAACGGCAGCACGGCAGUAGCAAUACUGUGGGUGGCGAGUGGCGGACGGGUGAGGAAUACAUGGGAAUCUACCCUGUCGUGGGGGAUAACGUAGGGAAACUUACGCUAAUACCGCAUACGACCGAGAGGUGAAAGCGGCGGACCGCAAGGCGUCGCGCGACUGGAUGAGCCCAUGUCGGAUUAGCUAGUUGGCGGGGUAAAGGCCCACCAAGGCGACGAUCCGUAGCUGGUCUGAGAGGAUGAUCAGCCACACUGGAACUGAGACACGGUCCAGACUCCUACGGGAGGCAGCAGUGGGGAAUAUUGGACAAUGGGCGCAAGCCUGAUCCAGCCAUGCCGCGUGAGUGAAGAAGGCCUUCGGGUUG
rnacentral:rRNA from 1 species